GGAAAGGUGAGAUGUGACGACUGACGAAUAAAUGAUGCGAUGUGACGGCAACACAAAAAUCAGAGGUACACCACCCAAAUGAUGGCAAAAUGUUCCCUAAGCGACGACAACGCACACUGCCCGAAGGUGACGCAUAGUGCCCAAAGGGGCAGCACGCACUCCUGUGGCAACGCCCACUGCUCCAGCUUGCCACGCCCGAUGGGCCUAGCCUGUUCAGUGCACAGGCCUACUGCACGCAAGCCUACUGUGCGCAGGCCUACUACACGGACGAUGUGCAUGCCCGUCUGCGCACAAUGGGAUG
rnacentral:lncRNA from 1 species